UGCCAGCAGCCGCGGUAAUACGAAGGGUCCGAGCGUUAAUCAGAAUCACUGGGCUUAAAGCGUACGUAGGCUGACUCGCAGGUAUCUUGUGAAAUCCCUCCGCUCAACGGAGGAACUGCAGGGUAAACCGCGAGUCUCGAGACAGGUAGGGGUUGUCGGAACGAUAGGUGGAGUGGUGAAAUGCGUUGAUAUCUAUCGGAACGCCAACGGAGCAGUCAGGCAACUGGGCCUGUUCUGACGCUGAUGUACGAAAGCGUGGGUAGCGAACGGGAUUAGAUA
rnacentral:rRNA from 1 species